GGAAGGGGUGUAUUUAUUAGAUAAAAAACCAAUGCCCUUCGGGGCUCCUUGGUGAAUCAUAAUAACUUAACGAAUCGCAUGGCCUUGCGCCGGCGAUGGUUCAUUCAAAUUUCUGCCCUAUCAACUUUCGAUGGUAGGAUAGUGGCCUACCAUGGUGGCAACGGGUAACGGGGAAUUAGGGUUCGGUUCCGGAGAGGGAGCCUGAGAAACGGCUACCACAUCCAAGGAAGGCAGCAGGCGCGCAAAUUACCCAAUCCCGACACGGGGAGGUAGUGACAAUAAAUACUGAUACGGGGCUCUUUUGGGUCUCGUAAUUGGAAUGAGUACAAUCUAAAUCCCUUAACGAGGAACAAUUGGAGGGCAAGUCUGGUGCCAGCAGCCGCGGUAAUUCCAGCUCCAAUAGCGUAUAUUAAAGUUGUUGCAGUUAAAAAGCUCGUAGUUGAACCUUGGGUCUGGCUGGCCGGUCCGCCUCACCGCGAGUACUGGUCCGGCUGGACCUUUCCUUCUGGGGAAUCUCAUGGCCUUCACUGGCUGUGGGGGGAACCAGGACUUUUAC
rnacentral:rRNA from 1 species